CCCCCGCGGACUCGGCCACCACGUCGUGGGUUCGAUUCGCAGGUCUGGCGAUUUCUUUUAUUUUUCUUCGACCCGCGGUGGCCCGAGCUCCCUCUCCCUACGGCGGUGCUCCCCCCGCGGCCGCCCCUCCCGUAACCUCCUUCCGGCGACGUCCUCCUCUCCGAGGAGCCCAACCCUCCUGGCACCGCGCGACCUCCUCCCCACGCUCCUCCCCUCCCUGCCGCCGCCCUCUAUCGCCAGAUCCGGCGCGUCGGUGGCCGCGGGCGGGGUCGGGCGUUCGGCAACGGCAGGCGCGGGUGGCGUUGGACUGCGGCGCGCCACGGCAGGCGAGCAGGCCAAGGCGGUGGGUAGGCCAAGGUGGGUGCAGGCGGUGUCGGCAGGCGAGCAGGCUAAGGUGGGCGACGGCGGUGCCGAGCGAGUGUGCGGGCGAGCAGUCCAAGGUGCGAGCGGGCGACGGAGGCAUGGUUCUGCACUCUCUCUCUCUCUUCCAGAUCAAGAGCAGCACAUUGGAGCGGACAAAUGCAGCAGCACCUCAUCAUCCUGAUGGCGGGCGCGACGCGGAGGUCAGGCUCGGGGCCGGCGGCUACGGCUUCUCCAUGACUAAUUCCACUCUUUGCCCGAAAGGUCAGACGAAAUCAUCGAGAAUCUCCCACUUCUCUCUCAGUCGAUUAUUGCAAGCACCACUAAAUAGAGCAGCGGCAGCCGCACCCUUUCCUGCCUUAGAUGCAAAUCGAAGCAGCAACCAGCAACAACACGUUUCCUUCCUCUGCUUCUACUCCAAGGCACGGCUCCAAAUCAGAACAGAACCUGGCGUUGCAUCCUGACCUCCUCUGUUUCUUCCUCCAAAUCCAAGCUGUAGAGCAAUGGGCAAGCACUAGAUAACAUGAUUAGGAUUAGGAAAAUACAGAUUUGUAUGUGGUAAAGCUAGGACACUGCAGCUAAUAUUGCCUUCUCUUUUCAUUGUUAACGCACAAUAGAAAAACAAUUGGGAAAUAUACCCAAUUAGAUAUGGGUGAUAUGUGAUCUCAAAAGCCAGCCUGAUGUCUGCUCCAGAGGUACGAAUUUUUAAUUUUGCCAUGUCGUGUGAAUUUUUUCUAGCAGUAAAGAAUAUUUACCCUAAGCCCUAUUAACUCUACUAGCGCAGUGACAGAAGGUUUAUGUUAGAAUUGGUUUAUGGGAUAUAUAUCUCAUUAGGACACUGUUUCAUUUGUGAACUGAUGAGAAGUACGGUAGUGGUCUUAUUUGUUCUUUUUCAUUUUUCAUGCAAAUUGAUUUUUUCGCACAAGGAAUAAGUUAGAUUGUGUUGGUAAUCAUGCGAGGACAACAAUUUAGGGAAACAGCUCUGUCCUGUUCGAAAUCAAUGCAGGAUGGAGUGGUGCUGAUAUGUGUGCUCCCUUUUUGCAUUUUUGUUUAUGAUUAAUUUUAAUUUAUUUUAUUUUGUGAACACAUGGUCUGUGGUAUUUUAUCAUUUCUUGAUUGUACUACUGAUUUGUUAAUUUGCUUGCCUUGGUUUGUACCAGAUUUUUUGUUUUAUUCCAAUCUAUCUAAAACACUUAAUAGGACUUUCAGGGGUGUACUUCAUAGGUACUAAUAACUCACCUCCCUAGACCAUAAUCUAUGUUAAGUCAAUUAUGUUUGUGGCAUAUAUUUUUAGGCCAAUAAUUUGGUGCUUCUGAAAUGGAAUGUUAAUACAUGAAACUUUUUCUCUGUUGAAACCUUUUGUCAUUAAGGGUAAGCAAAAUGGAGUGCAUCUCGUGCCAGCCCUUGUCAAAAGGAUGCUGGAUAAAGGCAUGUUUUUGUUUGGCUACAUGAAUUUGCUAGGUGUGAUGGCAGUGAGAAGCAGGUCAAGGGCUUGACUGCAUUGCAGAAUAAACGAGACAAAUUUGCCUGUGACAAGUAUGUGAUUUUUGCCAAUGUGAAGUCAAGCAUUAGCAUUUGUAUUUUCAGUAUAUUGCACCGAAGAGUACUUAGAUUAUUGACACAACAACAUGAGUUUUUAGUAUGGUUUUUUAUCCUUGUGUUGGUGUUUCAAGUAAUUUGCACCUAUGGAUACAUAAAUAAGAUUGGUGACAUAUUUUUCACCUCAUUGAUGCACACUCAGUGAGACACUGCAUUUACACUACUUCAUGAUUUGCAGUUUACACACUCCCUGUGAGGUUAUGAUCCUUCCAGUUUUAUGUUUGAACAUAAUCUCAUUAAGAUGGACCUUUGCUUCCUCUUAAUUUCCUUAAGGCCUGAUUCGAGAAUUGUUCUUUUUGUGAUGAGAAAAUUUAUGCAAAUGCACUUCUAUUAUUAGACACAUUUCAUCUACCUCCAGGGUGCGGAGUUGUAGCUUGAUAGCAUCAAGAAAUUGUCAAAGGAGUAUGCUGAAGCCAAAGAAUUGGCCCCUGCAGAGGCAGGCCAAACCGUUGAUCUUGAAGAUGCUAAGCACUUCCUUCAGAGUGAUACACUUUUUGGCGACAAGAUAGUUGAGAUCGUCAAAGAAUGGGAUGCAAUUGUGCAAUUGAGAUCCACACUGCAUCAUGGAUAUGCCAACAUGUUUUUUAAUCCGCUGGUAUGAUUUGUGAAGACCAGUUAGUUAAUCUAACUUGGCCUAGUACUUUACCUCCUGGCUGGUCUAUGGAGUGGGAACCGUCCCCGACCAGUAAUGACUCAACCGAAUGAUGUCAUGUUUGGGCUUAACAUGGCAUUUACCCUACGACGUUUAUGUACAGUCAUAUUUUACUUUUUGCUGCAAAAUUCUUAAACUAAACUUAGUUUAUGGUUGGAACCUUCCUGUAUCCUUUGAAUAAAUCUGUAAAAGCUAGAACUUCAGUCUACUAGCUUCAAAACUCUGAUGUAAUUUACACUACUUAUCUAUGUGAUGUAAAAUAUUGUGGAAUGUUGUAUCUCUGACUCGCCUUCGUGCAGGACGUAUACUUGUGUUAUGAUCGGAUAUUCAGUGGUUGCAUCGGGAUGUUACCAGACAGACCAAGGAUUAUACCAGUUGAAGUGCCCUUAGUUUGAAUCAACCUCGGAAGAUGUUUAGCGCACUUGAGCUGGUGUAAUUCAAAGUGGUUCUGCCACAGUUGUGCGCCUGGAAGUAGUGCCGCAGCUUCCUUGACGUGAUGAGUAUCGCGUAGACGAGUUUUUGCACCUGGGGAUAGCGCAGCUUGGACUCACCGAGUACUUCACUAGUGAAGUAGACGGGUCGUUGUACCUUGUAGACGUGGCCUGGCUCGUCUCGUUCGAUGACCAGAGCGGUGCUAACCACAUGGGUGGUUGCUGCGAUGUAGAGGAGUAGAGUCUCCCCAUCUUCUGGAGGUGUGAGGAUGGGUGGAGUUGUGAGGAAGUCUUUGAGCUGCUGAAGGCUACGGCAGCUUCCUCGUUCCACUCGAACUUGUUGGACUUCCUAAGAAGUUUGAAGAACGGUAGGCCUUUGUCGCCGAGCCGGCUGAUGAACUGGCUCAAGGCUGCCAUGCACCCUGUAAGCUUCAUCAGAUCCUUCUUGCACCUAGGUGACUUCAUGAACCUGAUAGCGUUGAUCUUGGUCGGGUUGGCUUCAAUGCCCCGGCUGCUUACAAUGAAGCCGAGUAGCUUCCUGGACGGGAAGCCAAACACGCACUUGGUGGGGUUUAGCUUCCAUUUGAAUCUCCUGAGAUUUUCAAAUGUUUCUACGAGGUCGGCAAUGAACUGAUCAUUGGACCUUGUCUUGAUGACGAUGUCAUCUUUGUAGGCCUCGGCGUUGUGCCUAAUCUGCCCCUGAAGACAUUUCUGGAUGGCCUUCUGGUAUGUAGCACCCGCGUUCUUGAGGCCGAACGUCAUGGUGUUAUAGCAGUACACCCCGAAGGGCGUGAUGAAGGAGGUCUUCUCUUGAUCCGACUUCUUCAGGGUGAUCUGGUGGUAACCUGAGUAGCAGUCAAGAAAAGAGAGGAGCGUGUAGCCGACUGUUGAGUCAACAACCUGGUCGAUGCGUGGAAGAGGGCAAGGAUCUUUAGGGCAGUGUUUGUUGAGAUCAGUAUAGUCGACACAUAUUCUCCAUUCACCAUUUUUCUUUUUUACAAGGACUGGAUUUGCCAGCCAUUCGGGAUGUGUGACUUCUCGGAUAAAACUAGCAGCUAGGAGCCAGAUCAUUUCUACCCUAAUAGCCUCCUUCCGAUCUUGAGCGAAGCGACGCAGCCGUUGUUUGACGGGCCGUGCCUUCUCAUUGAGAUCCAAGCAGUGCUCAG